GUUUUUAUAGUGUAAUUUAACAUAUUAUAUUUUCGUUAUAAAGCUGAAAGCUUCCUUUCUAAAAACU
rnacentral:tRNA from 1 species